rnacentral:rRNA from 1 species
AGAAUCAACGCUGGCGGCGUGCCUAACACAUGCAAGUCGCACGAGAAAGGGCUUUCGGGCCUGAGUAAAGUGGCGCACGGGUGAGUAACACGUGAAUAAUCUACCUCCGAGUGGGGAAUAACUGAGAGAAAUCUUAGCUAAUACCGCAUAACACUUACGAGUCAAAGCAGCAAUGCGCUUGGAGAGGAGUUCGCGGCAGAUUAGUUAGUUGGCGGGUAAUGGCCCACAAGACGAUGAUCUGUAUCC